ensembl:rRNA 5S_rRNA 5S ribosomal RNA
GUCUACAGCCAUAACACCCUGAAUGUACCUGAUCUCAUCUGAUCUCAGAAGCUAAGCAGGGAAGGGCCUGGUUAGUACUUGGAUGGAAGAUACUUAGAGAUAUUUGACA